rnacentral:rRNA from 1 species
UACAGAGGUCUCAACCGUUGUUCGGAUUCAUUGGCGUAAAGGGUGCGUAGGCGGUCGUGCAAGUCGGAUGUGAAUCUCAGGGCUCAACCCUGAAACUGCAUUCGAUACUGCGUGGCUAGAGUGCUGGAGAGAGACUGGAAUUUACGGUGUAGCAGUGAAAUGCGUAGAUAUCGUAAGGAAGACCAGUGGCGAAGCGAGUCCUGGACAGCAACUGACGCUGAGGCACGA